UCCUGUGUGGCUCAGUUGGUAGAGCAUGGUGUUUGCAACGCCAGGGUUGUGGGUUCAAUUCCCAAGCGGGAC
rnacentral:tRNA from 1 species